rnacentral:lncRNA from 1 species
CUGGGAGAGGCCUCUUCAAGGGCGUCCUUGAAGCCCAGCCAUGGAUGUCCCUGUGGUUGGGAAAGGGGAGCUCAGGGUAAUGGAGUAUCCUCAAGAACCUGCAGAUAUUACCUCCCUCCAGAACCGUGGUCUCAGCCCUGGCUGCAUAUUCCUUCAACGGGAGGGCUUUAGAAAUGCUGUGCCAGAGCUGCACCCCAGACCAACAAAAUCAGACUCUCCAGGAUGCGGCCAAGGCAUCAGUAUGUGGAAAGCUUUCAGGAAAACUGAGCAAAAUGAAAGCCAAUUCAAAGAAGAAGGAAUUAAGUACAUAAUUGUGCAGAUGAUACAUGGAAAUGGUAAGAAUGGUGACAAUGGGACGUAAGUGACUGAAAUUUGGGAUACAUUGGAUUAGAAGAAAAUAAGCCCCCAAGAAACCGGAAUAAGUCUGGAGGGCAGCAAGAGUGACUGUCCAGCUAAGAACCUCAUCAGCAAUACAAAACAUUGUCACAGAUGUUGAAACAGACCCUGAGGUUAAUGCAUUCUUUCCAACAUUAGGUCCUAAAACUUCUCCUGAAAAGCUACCUUAAAUCUAACUUUUGAAAGUGCACAAUAAAGGUGAAUUAAAUAAAAGCA